rnacentral:tRNA from 1 species
GAGAGGUGGCUCAGAGGUUAAGAGCACUGGCUGCUCUUCCAGAGGUCCUGAGUUCAAUUCCCAGCCACUACA